rnacentral:rRNA from 1 species
GGCCUAACACAUGCAAGUCGAACGGCAGCGCGGGGCAACCUGGCGGCGAGUGGCGAACGGGUGAGUAAUAUAUCGGAACGUGCCCUGGAGUGGGGGAUAACGCAGCGAAAGUUGCGCUAAUACCGCAUACGAUCUAAGGAUGAAAGCGGGGGAUUCGCAAGAACCUCGUGCUCCUGGAGCGGCCGAUAUCUGAUUAGCUAGUUGGUGGGGUAAAGGCCUACCAAGGCAUCGAUCAGUAGCUGGUCUGAGAGGACGACCAGCCACACUGGAACUGAGACACGGUCCAGACUCCUACGGGAGGCAGCAGUGGGGAAUUUUGGACAAUGGGCGCAAGCCUGAUCCAGCAAUGCCGCGUGAGUGAAGAAGGCCUUCGGGUUGUAAAGCUCUUUUGUCAGGGAAGAAACGGUUGAGGCUAAUAUCCUUUGCUAAUGACGGUACCUGAAGAAUAAGCACCGGCUAACUACGUGCCAGCAGCCGCGGUAAUACGUAGGGUGCAAGCGUUAAUCGGAAUUACUGGGCGUAAAGCGUGCGCAGGCGGUUUUGUAAGUUUGUCGUGAAAUCCCCGGGCUCAACCUGGGAAUUGCGAUGAAGACUGCAAGGCUAGAAUCUGGCAGAGGGGGGUAGAAUUCCACGUGUAGCAGUGAAAUGCGUAGAGAUGUGGAGGAACACCGAUGGCGAAGGCAGCCCCCUGGGUCAAGAUUGACGCUCAUGCACGAAAGCGUGGGGAGCAAACAGGAUUAGAUACCCUGGUAGUCCACGCCCUAAACGAUGUCUACUAGUUGUCGGGUUUUAAUUAACUUGGUAACGCAGCUAACGCGUGAAGUAGACCGCCUGGGGAGUACGGUCGCAAGA